rnacentral:rRNA from 1 species
CGGGUGAGUAACGCGUGAGGAACCUGCCUCAAAGAGGGGGACAACAGUUGGAAACGACUGCUAAUACCGCAUAAGCCCACAGCUCGGCAUCGAGCAGAGGGAAAAGGAGUGAUCCGCUUUGAGAUGGCCUCGCGUCCGAUUAGCUAGUUGGUGAGGUAAUGGCCCACCAAGGCGACGAUCGGUAGCCGGACUGAGAGGUUGAACGGCCACAUUGGGACUGAGACACGGUCCAA